UUUUAUUGAUGUUUUCGAAUAAGCUGUACAUAAACUAAAUAAUUGUAAAAUUUAAGCGAUUUCUGUAAUUUUGUUCUUUUUUUAUUUCGAUAUUACCGCUAUUUCUCCUAUUAGUUCAACAGAAAAAAAGGACAUUAACAAAAAUGUAUGCUUCUUUUGAAGGCAGAUUGUGAGCGUAAAUGAACGGUGACCCCAUUUUUUCUAUUUCAUUUUUCUAUUAAGUAUAAGAUAAAGUUCAUUUAUAAAAAAAUAUAGAGAAAUCAUAUAUUAAAUAAAACAAAAUGAUUUAGACCCGCGAGCCC
rnacentral:lncRNA from 1 species